rnacentral:rRNA from 1 species
AAGGGCACCACAAGAACGCGUGGAGCAUGUGGCUUAAUUUGACUCAACGCGGGAAAUCUUACCGGGUCCGGACACACUGAGGAUUGACAGAUAUAUAGUACUUCGCAUACUUUGUGUGUGCGUUGUACUUGAAAGAUGCUAGUUCUUUCAUGAUUAUGUGAUAGGUGGUGCAUGGCCGUUCUUAGUUCGUGGAGUGAUCUGUCUGCUUAAUUGCGUAUCAACAAUAAAAAGGUCUAAUAAUACGCGUAUAUUCUGUUAUGUCGGUUAGUGACCCCCUUUAAUUAGGCGCGUGUCGCACGUAUAACUAUUGUACGCACAGACCUUUGAUAGCAACGAACGUGACCGUACUCUAUUGUUGCAAUGAAUAUAUUUGUGUCUCGGUGCAAAUAUUACCAUUGCUUAGUAUAUGUAUAUUCGUUCACGGAUAUCAUAUACACCAAACUAUAGAGACCGCUGUUUUUUCCUUAAACCAGAGGAAGGAUACGGCAAUAACAGGUCUGUGAUGCCCUCAGAUGUUCCGGGCUGCACACGUGCUACAAUGAUCAUUGCACUGUGCAUCUAACCCAAUGUGCGUUGGAUGGCCACAGGGUGCACACAUUUUGUGUGUGUAUCUUCGUUGGCCGACCACGCCGAACCUACUUCGAAAGUAAAAAUUUCUAACAAUGGGUAAUCCAUUGGAAGUAAUGACUCGCAUAGACCAUGGCACACUUUAUAUGUACGCGCAGGUUCUACCCGGCUUAGCCUUUGUGUUGAGUGCAGUGCGUAACUUGAUGUUUUUUCGUACGUGCCAAUUCCAGUAUUAAUUCAUACGUGGGGAUAGAUCAUUGUUAAUUGUUGGUMUCGGUCUUAGCUACGAAUGCUUUGUUCGGGUCUUUGGUUCAUCAUACCACCCGGAAUACGUCCCUGCCCUUUGUACACACCGCCCGUCGUUUUACCGAUGGAUUAUACUAUGAAUCUAUAGGACUKCCAAAGUAUAUCUCCUCGCAGUGAUUACUUAGUUGAAAUAUAUAUGAAUAGUGUGGUCUAAAGGAAAGAGAAGUCGUAACAAGGCAUCGGUAGGUGAACCU